rnacentral:rRNA from 1 species
CUACAGGUGGCUGCAGUGAGGAAUAUUGCACAAUGGGGGGAACACUGAUGCAGCAACGCCGCGUGGAGGAUGACGCAUUUCGGUGUGUAAACUCCUUUUAUAUGUCAAGAAAAUGACGGUAGCAUAUGAAUAAGCACCGGCUAACUCCGUGCCAGCAGCCGCGGUAAUACGGAGGGUGCAAGCGUUACUCGGAAUCACUGGGCGCAAAGGACGCGUAGGCGGGUUGGAAAGUCAGGUGUGAAAUCCUACAGCUUAACUGUAGAACUGCACUUGAAACUUCUAAUCUAGAGUAUGGGAGGGGGAGAUGGAAUUAGUGGUGUAGGGGUAAAAUCCGUAGAUAUCACUAGGAAUACCUAAAGCGAAGGCGAUCUCCUGGAACAUUACUGACGCUAAGGCGUGAAAGCGUGGGGAGCAAACAGGAUUAGAUACCCGCGUAGUC